UACGAAGGGUGCAAGCGUUAAUCGGAAUUACUGGGCGUAAAGCGCGCGUAGGUGGUUCGUUAAGUUGGAUGUGAAAGCCCCUGGCUCAACCUGGGAACUGCAUCCGAAACUGGCGAGCUAGAGUACGGUAGAGGGUGGUGGAAUUUCCUGUGUAGCGGUGAAAUGCGUAGAUAUAGGAAGGAACACCGGUGGCGAAGGCGACCUCCUGGACUGAUACUGACACUGAGGUGCGAAAGCGUGGGGAGCAAAUAGG
rnacentral:rRNA from 1 species